rnacentral:lncRNA from 1 species
UUUAGUGCACAUUCGGAGAAAGUUAUUACUUAGGUGAUUCUUGAUCACAGCUAAGUCUCCGAGUGUGACGUUUUGUGCAUACUCGGAGAAAUUUAUUACUUAGGUGAUUCUUGAUCACAGCUAAGUCUCCGAGUGCAACGUUUGGUGCACACUCGGAGAAAGGUAUUACUUAGGUGAUUCUUGAUCACAGCUAAGUCCCCGAGUGCGUCGUUUAGUGCACACUCGGAGAAAGUUAUUACUUAGGUGAUUCUUGAUCAGACCUAAGUCCCCGAGUGCGACGUUUAGUGCACACUCGGAGAAAUGUAUUACUUAGGUGAUUCUUGAUCACAGCUAAGUCCCCGAGUGCGACGUUUAGUGCAUACUCGGAGAAAUUUAUUACUUAGGUGAUUCUUGAUCACAGCUAAGUCUCCGAGUGCGACGUUUGGUGCACACUCGGAGAAAGGUAUUACUUAGGUGAUUCUUGAUCACAGCUAAGUCCC